UGAAUAAUUUUUUUUUUAUAUUAAAUUAAAUUAAACUAACUUACCAUAUUUUUCCAGAAUUUUAACAAUUUGAGCAACACUUGAUCUUUUUUGACCAAUAGCAACAUAUAUACAAUAUUUUCUGGUUUUAAUAUCAUCAUAAAAUUUUCUUUGAUUAAGAAUAAUAUCUAAAACAAGAGAAGUUUUACCAGUUUGUCUAUCACCAACAAUAGCUUCUCUUUGUCCUAAUCCAAUAGGUAUAAGAGAAUCAAUAAAUUUUAUACCAGUAAUAAGUUGUUCAUUAAUAGGUUUUCUAUCCAUAAUACCUGGAGCUUUAACAUCAAUUUCUCUUUUUUCUAAAGAAAUAAUGGAAGGUUUACCAUCAAUAGGAUUUCCUAAAGCAUCAACGACUCUACCAAGAAGUUCUUUACCAACUGGACAAUUAACAAUAGUAUUGGUUGAGAUAACUUGAUCUCCUUUUCUAAUAUUUCUAUCUUCACCUAAUAUAACAAUACCAACAUGAUCAUUUUCAAGAUUUAAUGCCAUACCUUUUUCUCCAGAUGAAAAUUCAACUAAUUCUCCAUAUUUUACUGAUCUAAUACCAUCAACUUGUGCAAUUCCAUCAGCAACAGAUAUUACUUGACCAAUUCUUUUAUUAUUAUCUUCAUGAAUUGUUGUUGUUGAAUAAUAAGAGGAAAAAUGAGUAUUUAGAUAUGAAGAUGGUGGAAAUAAUGAUGAAAAUAAUAAUUGUUUAUUAAGAAGAGUAUUAUUGGAAUAAAAAAAUGGUGAAUAUGAAUAUGAAUUAUUAUAGAAAGAAUUGAUAUUAUUUAUAGAAAAUGAAUAACUUGGGAUUUUGUAAUAUUUUGAAGAUAC
rnacentral:antisense_RNA from 1 species